rnacentral:rRNA from 1 species
GAUGAAUGCUGGCGGCGUGCUUAAUACAUGCAAGUCGAGCGAGGACCACUCGGUGGCAACACCGGGUGGCUCCUAGCGGCGAACGGGUGAGUAACACGUGGGCAACCUGCCCCCGACACUGGGAUAAGCCCGGGAAACUGGGUCUAAUACCGGAUACGAGCCUCCUCCGCAUGGUGGAGGCUGGAAAGGGUCUCCGGUCGGGGAUGGGCCCGCGGCCUAUCGGCUUGUUGGUGGGGUAACGGCCCACCAAGGCGACGACGGGUAGCCGGCCUGAGAGGGUGAACGGCCACACUGGGACUGAGACACUGCCCAGACUCCUACGGGAGGCAGCAGUAGGGAAUCUGGCGCAAUGGGCGAAAGCCUGACGCAGCGACGCCGCGUGCGGGACGAAGGCCCUCGGGUUGUAAACCGCUUUCAGCAGGGACGAAGCGAAAGUGACGGUACCUGCAGAAGAAGGUCCGGCCAACUACGUGCCAGCCGCCGCCGUAAUAC